UCUGUAGCUCAGUGGCAAAGUAGCGGCUUGCCAUGCAGAAGACCGCAGGUUCGACUCCUGGCAUUUCCAGCUAAG
rnacentral:tRNA from 1 species